ACCCGCUGAACUUAAGCAUAUCAAUAAGCGGAGGAAAAGAAACUAACAAGGAUUCCCCUAGUAACGGCGAGUGAAGCGGGAAGAGCUCAAAUUUGAAAUCUGGCGUCUUUGGCGUCCGAGUUGUAAUUUGCAGAGGGCGCUUUGGCAUUGGCAGCGGUCCAAGUUCCUUGGAACAGGACGUCACAGAGGGUGAGAAUCCCGUACGUGGUCGCUAGCCUUUACCGUGUAAAGCCCCUUCGACGAGUCGAGUUGUUUGGGAAUGCAGCUCUAAAUGGGAGGUAAAUUUCUUCUAAAGCUAAAUACUGGCCAGAGACCGAUAGCGCACAAGUAGAGUGAUCGAAAGAUGAAAAGCACUUUGGAAAGAGAGUUAAAAAGCACGUGAAAUUGUUGAAAGGGAAGCGCUUGCAGCCAGACUUGCCUGUAGUUGCUCAUCCGGGUUUCUACCCGGUGCACUCUUCUAUAGGCAGGCCAGCAUCAGUUUGGGCGGUUGGAUAAAGGUCUCUGUCAUGUACCUCUCUUCGGGGAGAACUUAUAGGGGAGACGACAUGCAACCAGCCUGGACUGAGGUCCGCGCAUCUGCUAGGAUGCUGGCGUAAUGGCUGU
rnacentral:rRNA from 1 species